rnacentral:rRNA from 1 species
AUUGAACGCUGGCGGCAUGCCUUACACAUGCAAGUCGAACGGCAGCACGGGUGCUUGCACCUGGUGGCGAGUGGCGAACGGGUGAGUAAUACAUCGGAACAUGUCCUGUAGUGGGGGAUAGCCCGGCGAAAGCCGGAUUAAUACCGCAUACGAUCCACGGAUGAAAGCGGGGGACCUUCGGGCCUCGCGCUAUAGGGUUGGCCGAUGGCUGAUUAGCUAGUUGGUGGGGUAAAGGCCUACCAAGGCGACGAUCAGUAGCUGGUCUGAGAGGACGACCAGCCACACUGGGACUGAGACACGGCCCAGACUCCUACGGGAGGCAGCAGUGGGGAAUUUUGGACAAUGGGCGAAAGCCUGAUCCAGCAAUGCCGCGUGUGUGAAGAAGUCCUUCGGGUUGUAAAGCACUUUUGUCCGGAAAGAAAUCCUUGACUCUAAUACAGUCGGGGGAUGACGGUACCGGAAGAAUAAGCACCGGCUAACUACGUG